CCAGCCCACACCAUAUCUCUCUCCCUCUCCCUCUCUCUCUCUAUCUCUACUUUCUCUCUCUAGGAUUUGUUCUUCGUGCUGAGCGAGAUUCUGCGGAGCUCCGCUGCGCUUCCGCUCGAGGGUUUCCCGAUCGCCGCCGCCGUCGCCGCCGUCGUCCGCCUGAGACCGGCCGUCCGCCGGAGCUGGCUGCGGAUCUCGUCUCCUUUCGACGAGGAAGGAAACUGUGUGACUGAGGAUUAAGAGGGGCCGUGUGGAAUCUUGGAGAUUGAAGAAGCCUUUCUCGCUGUUUAAUCUUGAGGUCAAGUAUCGUGGUUUUGAGUUGAAGAAGUAUUGCAAUUAUCUUAAUUGAGUUCUGGUCUCAACUCGGAAUUACUGUUUGAAAAUGGGUUAUAUAUGUGAGUUCUGUGGAGAGCAGAGGUCUAUGGUGUAUUGCCGAUCUGAUGCUGCAUGCUUGUGCUUAUCAUGUGAUCGGAAUGUUCAUUCUGCCAACGCUCUUUCGAGGCGCCAUUCAAGAACGCUGUUAUGUGAGAGGUGUAAUUCACAACCUGCUUGUGUUAGAUGUGCGGAAGAGAGGGUCUCGCUAUGUCAAAAUUGUGAUUGGAUCGGUCAUGGGGCCUCUACCUCGGCAUCAACACACAAGAGGCAAACAUUAAACUGUUAUUCUGGUUGUCCCUCGGCAGCAGAGCUUUCUUCAAUAUGGUCUUUUGUGCUAGACUUCCCCUCUGGAGGUGAAUCCGCAUGUGAGAAGGGAAUGGGGUUGAUGAGCAUAGCAGAGGGUAAUGAAAACGCAGCUUGCAUUCUGCCAAAAGACAGCAGUAGCCAAGAUGUAUCUGUUUGUGCUGAUGAUGAGGCUGGGAAUGCAAAUGCAUGGGUUGGGUCAUCUUCAUUGCCGGAACUUAAAUCAGCGUCUCUGAAUAUGGGUCAGCUGGCUGCAUCUGCAAGCACGGCGACUCCUAAGGCGUGCCUUCCUAUUACAAGAAGUCCUGGGCUUUUUGAAGAUGAUAGUUUCUACGAGGAUUUCAACAUGGAUGAAGUGGAUUUGGAUCUUGAAAAUUAUGAUGAGCUUUUUGGUGUUGCCCUAACUAACUCAGAAUUGCUGUUUGAGAAUGGUGGGAUUGACAGCUUAUUUGGAGCAAAGGAAAUGUCUGCUGCUGAUUCCAACUGUCAGGGUCCAGUAGUUGCUGAGGGAUCAUCUUCUGGACAUGCAAUACAGCCUGCAUGCAGUGUUGCCUCAGCUGAGUCUAUGAUGAGCUCUAAAACUGAGCCUAUUAUUUGUUUUUCAACAAGACAACCCCAUUCCAAUCUCUCAUUCUCCGGUCAUAUUGGAGAGAAUAACACUGGUGAUUAUCAAGAUUGUGGGGCUUCCUCAAUGCUUCUUAUGGGAGAGCCUCCAUGGUGUACCCCUGGCCCUGAGAAUUCAUUCACAUCAGCAAGCAGGAGCAAUGCUGUGAUGCGUUACAAGGAAAAGAAGAAGACACGCAAGUUUGACAAGAAGGUGAGAUAUGCCUCUCGUAAAGCAAGAGCUGAUGUGCGAAGGCGAGUGAAGGGCCGCUUUGUCAAGGCUGGUGAUGCUUAUGACUAUGACCCAUUGAGCCAAACCAGAAGCUACUGAGUUGACAUAUAUAUGCUUAGAGGGAAGGAACCCUCACCUUCUAUUUGCAAAUAGUUGGUUCAAUGGGAAGUGGAUGGUGCAGGUGCAAUCUUAUUGAGUGCAGAUGCAUGAUGGUGACACUGAAGCCACAGUUAUAGCCAAGACAGCCGAAGAUGAAAGGGAUGGUGGGAUGGCAAUACUGAAAUGUGGGAUCUGACCAUAGUCCUCGUCGCCAUAAAGAAUUAACUAAUCGCGAAAUUCUUCCCACCAAAUUGUACGAAUAUUAGUUGCUUGGCAGUUUCUGUUGCUUUGCCAUCCUCUGGGCUUCUUCACUGUGGUAUGAGGGGGAAAUCAUAAUUGAUGCCAGCUAGACAUAGUUAGGCACGUCAUAAAUGACAAUAUGGGGUAGGCUUUCGUCUACCUCUUUUUUUGAAGCUCUUCCUGCAUUUGGCUGCUCCUCUCUGUGAUUAGUCAAAUUUACAGUUUCAACUGAAGCUCAGAUCUGUUUUCCUCUCUCUGGUAGACCCCGGUGGUUAAGCUCGAGAGUGGUUAACGACUGCUUUUGUGCGCUCUGGGUUUCAAACCGAUGUGGAACUCAUAGCGCGGCAAGCUGUUGGUGGUAGGUGGGUGCAGUCUGAGAAUGUUCGAGGCGCAUGUUCUUUAAUGAAACUCGCUCGCCCACACGUUCAUUGUCGACUCAGGCCGUGGAUGCAAAAGUAGUUGAGUUCACGUGUCUGUUUCUGUUGCCAUCGGACAGCCCUUGUGUGCCCUGUGGAGACCUCGCAGGACGAACGGAAAGUGUUGUGAUUGUCUGUUCUUGAGUCGGAUUCUUGUAUCUGCUUUUUGUGUCUUAUAUGAUGGACAUCAUAGGACAUUUAUCCAUUGGAUUAUCGUUCUUGCAGCUGAUUCGCAGCAACUUUUUUCGAUAACGAAUUGUGUAUAGAAGACGCUUUUAGUCAGCUGAAUUUACUGUAUCUCUGUUGUGUUCGCAUACUAA